rnacentral:lncRNA from 1 species
AGCUGGCCGGCUGGGUGGUUUGGGUCUGACACCUUGCCAGAGCUCUGCGACGAUGAUCAAUUUGCUGGUAUGGAAUGGCAGACACGGAGAGCGGUGACUAUAAUUUUUUUUAAUAUUGGUAAGUCACUGGUUUCCUGGAUCGAUGUAAGCAGCGGGCAGUGAUGCAUGGGUCCUGCUGGGCCCACUGUCAGAUGCACUAGAGAUUACUGCAGUUGGAAGUG